ACGGGCUCAUCAUGCAGGGUGGGCAGUGGCUUCUCUGCACCCCCACGGGGACAGGGAGGCCCCAUGCACUCUGGGCAUCAGAAUUCGGGUCUUCUGUGGGUUCUCCACGUUGCAGCAAACCAACGGCGCUCACAUCCUGCCUCCUGGGGCUGAGACAGCAAAGCAGGAAAUUGCAUAACAGGCAUUGCUGGCCGCGCUCCACGCAGAUGGCUUCUGGGUGGUGCAGUUCACUGUCAUGGUUUGGCUUCUCGGUGUGGAGUCGGCUCCUGAGCGCUGCCCAUGAGAGACCAUGGUGUGUGUGUGUGUGUGUGUGUGUGUGUGUGUGUGUGUGUGUGUGUGUACAGAGAAUGGGGUGCAGGCCUAACCUGACUGCAGGGUUUCAGAAGCUCAGGGGCUCAGGAGAACAAAGCCUUCAUGCAGAGGCGCAGUGAGACAGAAGACGCAGCCGAAUCUGUCUCGGUUUCCUGGGACACAGACUGGGGAUGGACGUGGUUCCUCACCUCACAAGACUGCGGAGGCACGUGAAGCCGAUGGUCCUGAGCAUCUGGACAAGUGCCCAGCCCAGAGAAGAGUUCUAGGUUUGGUAGAAUUCACCAGAGAAGACAUCUGGGCCAAGAGUUUUCCUUAUGAUCUCACUCUGUCACCCAGGCUGGACCUUUGGAGGUCCCUGAGCCCCAUUCCUGAAGUGAGUGCUGCCGGUCAGCUGUGGGAUCAGGGAAGACUUCGUGGAGCACUGGUGUCUGUCUGCUGGGGCCUGUGUCUCUCCCUGUAAAGACAGGGAAGCCACCGUGAGCACUGCAGUGACUGUGCCAGGCUCUGCCCUGAGCCCCGUGCAAGCCCUGCCCUAUGAGGCACACGGCACCUGUCCCAUUUUCACUGGGGGCAGAUGGGAUGACUUGCUCCAGCUGGUGAGUCUCAGAGGAUGGCCUCCUCCCCAGGGCCUCCUGCACCCAGUCUGCACUCUUCACCACUCACCUGGCUGCCCUGCUCUAGUGCAUUCCUGGGAUGAGACCCAGAGGACCCCUGGGCAGGGUGGGGGAGCCCUGGUCUUGCUGUGCAGCUCUGGUGCCAUUAGCUGGCCCUGUGCCCUUGAGCUGUCUGAAUACUCGCUACCCCUUGUCAUCUCCUGCGGGGUUCUGGCUUUUGAACAAGUCUUGGCUUCUUUCUAGGAAGUCGUGCUGUGAGUCAUUUAUCAACAGUUCCUGACUCUUGCUCUGUCCUGGCACUGCCCUCACGGAGCUGCCCGUUGCUGGGACGGACUAGAUAAAUGAAUGAAACCACGGACUACACGAGCAAUUACAAUUGCGAUGGAGGCCUCAAAACAGCAGCGCAGCAGUGCAGGAGCACACAAAGGCAGCCGGUGCCUGUGAGUGGGUCAGCCCACCAGGAAGGCUCUGCAGGAGGGAGGUGGCGCUUAAAUGGAGACCUGCAGGAUGAGCAGGAAGGGACAGAGGAUGGAGCGGUCCCGUGGCGAGGAGGAGAAUGGGCCAUUUAAGGAGCAGAGAAGUGCAGAGGGGCCUGGAGAACCGCGGGGAGAUGAGACGUGGAGGGGGCAGGAGAUGGGAGAAGGGCCAGACAGGAGGGCCUGCAGGCACUGUGAGGGCUGCAUGGCAGCCAAGUCCCCUUCUAGCCUUCCAGAUGGAAAGGCACUAGGCGAGGUGGAGAAAGCCAACAUCCAAUGGGCCACAAAGCAAAGCUGCUUCUGCACCCUCAUGGGCCAAGAUACCAGCAAGGUGAGGUCACCUCCAGCCAGGGCCGGGCUCGGCUCUUGUCUCAUGUGCUGGGGCUCCCGCCUUCCAUCCACAGCCCACUUGCUCCCCCCACCCCUGCCUGUGGCCUCUGCAGCUGGCAAUCUAGGCCCAAAAACAAUGCAGAGAAUCUCCGGCCGGCAGGGGCUGCGGUAUGGAUGGGCUUCUAUUUAUAACAGUGCAGCAACUGCCACCUCAGUGGGCCUGUGGCCUGACCUCUGGUGGGACUCUGGCAAGCCUCAAAGCCAGACCCUGGAGGAGACAGCAGAGGAAGGGCAGAUGACACAGCUGAAGGGUGUGGAGCCAGCUGCUCCCACCCUGGCGUCCUCAUCAGGACCCGCAAACCCCCAUCUGUGUGUGGUUCACACCAACAUAAGCUAGACAGGCCCGGCCUCUGUCCAGCCCCCCUGGGCUGCCGUUUUAGACAGAUCAUGAUCACAGAUACAAACAGGCGAGAGGAAGCAGAGGGGACAGGUAACUUCAUCGUGUCAGAGUAUCUGCUGUGACUGAUGUCAAGGCCAGCUUGUUUUCACAGGGUGGUCUGUUGGUCGGUAAGGGGUUCAGCAAUGUUGCUGGCACCAGCAGGCAGGAUUUCUUUGGAAAUGAACAGGUAUCUUGGAGAAGAAUCAGGAGAUCCAAUGGUAGCCAGCCAGGGCCUGGCAGGAGUGGGAGGGAGGCACUGCCUGGGCCCCAGUGCCGGUUCCGCCCCUCAUUCUCUUGUGAGACUUGGGCAAACCGCUUCCUGGCUCAGCCUCAUUUUCUCCUCUGAAAGCUGUGGGUUAUAGUAUGUGGCUCACAGGGUGAAAUGUGAAAAUGUCAGUGAAGUGCUUAGCAUAGUCAGUGCCUGGCAUGCUGUAAACAUCCAGUGAAUUGUUACUAUUACAAAGCAAUUUUAAAAAAGGAAUGUGUGUUAGAAACACAACCAGCAGUAAGUGAGCUGUGCUUCCGUCCAGCAACAUCCACGAGGCAGCGGUUCCCAGCCUGAGUGCCAACGACCCCGGCUCCAAGGAGAAAGGUUCUGAGGCAAACGUAUUUGGGAAAUAGCAGACUGUUUCCUCUUACUGAUUCACAAAACACAUUUGCAUAUUAAAGGCUCAAAAAGGUAUUUUUUAUAAUAAAAAGAUGCUAAAUUUUGUUCCAUCCACUCUUCCUCAACUUA